UGGACUCAAUGACCUUUGAAGAGCCCUUCCACCCCAAACUAUUCAAUGAUUUCUAUAAUUUCUAUAUAGUGUUUAUUUCCUUGAGAUGAUAAACUCAUCAGAGAAUGUUGCAUCUAAAUAAGUGAUAAUGCUUAGUAAUUGUUUGGGUGUUUUUUUUCUUGCCAUAUGUUACCUAUUCUUCAGAUGCAGUGAUCUCUAACAACAGGCAUAGAGUUUGCUGAGACCGAAUGCAGUAAAUUGGUGGAAGAAUAGAGGUUUAGACAUGAAGUUGCUACAGCCAAUUGUAUCCAGUAUAACAGGGUACUGGGAACUGGUAUCAGAAUAAUUCAGGUAAUGCUAGAAAAGACAAGAAAAUCACUCUGAUUCACAUUUAACAUUGUUAAAUUGAAAAGUAAUGUUUAUGAAGCAUAAAUUGUUACAUGCUAAUAAAUCUGGAUGUUACUUAGAAGGAUAUCUGUUGGGAUUUGCAGGUAUAUGAAGACCCAGAUAAGGAAAAAAAUCCCCCAAACUCCCUAAGAAAGCUUGUUAUGAUUUAACAUGAAGGGAAUUCUCCCUAUUUUGUGAAAAUAAUAAUGUGAAUAAAUCCACACUGUGCAACGAGGAACUGUGCAAUUGCCAAGUUGGUUGUAGAGAGACAACCUCCUGUAAUUAUUAAAGUUUGCAUACCAAGAUUAAAAAUAUUCAAUGCUUUUACUAACCCUCCCAAAAAGAGGUAAGAAUAGGAAGUUAUGAGUCUUCUAUUUACCUGAGAAGCAUUUACCACAGAUGCAUGUCUCCUGUCUGCACGACUCCUCUUUGCAGCCAGACUGGAUCUGGAAAGACUUGAACUAGGUUCUAAGUAAACUGAUGUCUACCUGUCUAUGCAAAGGUGCCUGCCCGAUUUCUGGAAGUGUUGUACCCACAUUAUGGUGGCUGUUUCUGUGCUGAUUAUCCAUCACGACAAAGCUAGUUAGUCUGUGAGCAUGCUGUGAGGUCAUUACUGCAUUGCUUCUGAAGCUGGGGCUGGUUCAGGGAUGCAUGCAUCACACUGUUUUGUAUCGUGUAGAUGUGCCUUGUGUAUUACGGCUGGGGAAGAAAGGCAAGGGCUGUCACAAGAAAUAACUUUCAAAAUCGUAUGACUUUGGCAUCCCAAAUAGUUACAUACUUUGGAGAAGCAGGCAAUGCUUAUUGAACUUGAGAUGGGAGUGAGGUAAGUGGAUCAGACUUUGGCAUUUUGCUUGAAAGGGCAUCACCUUUGUCUAGGCAGUAUUGACAGAAAAAGAUUACAGCUGGUUCAGUUACUGAACCAGCAGGUGCUGCAGCCAAGGUCUGGGGAAGCCAUCCUUGCUGUGGCAGCCAAGUCUGCUGUAAGUUUGUGUUUCAAGGUGAUAUGUAAAACGUGCUCAUCUCCCUCAGAUAAUUAAAGAAACUCCCGUGUAAGGGCUGCAGAAUGGUUACAUCCAGCAAGCAUUAAUUUAACCUCAAGCAAUGCUAUAGCUAUUGAUGUAGUUUUGGACCAGUGAGGUUUGUUUAUCAGCGCUGCUACUUUUUAGAUUUGUAGAUGUGUUUAGCCUCACAGUUAUCUUUCUUUUAACACCAUCUUUGGCAUAACUGCAUAUAUCCAUCCAUUUGCAUAUGGGCUUGCAAUUGUCUCAACCUUAUUAACAUAUUUUACUCUGGUUUUCUGGGCCAUAUAUUUAAAGAACUCUGAAGUGGUAUCAAAAUUUGAGGUAGCAUCAUAAAGAGAUAACCCCAAAGUAUUACCUGCAAUAGGUGUGUGAUAUGAAAUAACCUUCUCAUCAGUUGGAAGAGAUGACUUUACCUACAGUUUUGGGACAAAACCAGAACUGUAAUUUGAAGGUAUUUUAUUUUUAGCUGAGUGCCACACUUUCUAGAAAUAUAUUAGAGAAAGGUCAAUGAAGCCACUGUGCAAUUUUGAAGAGAGGUUCUUUUUCCAAUGCAUUUCUUGGGAGACACUGAAAUAAAUAUUUGCAAUCUAUCUUGGAUUGCACCACUGUAAGCACCACUGUAUCACUCAUCAAAAUGUUCACUUAUGCAAGGCCUCUGUAAAAAUGUGUUAUUGCAAGGCAGUUUAUUGAGCAAACAAUAGCUAAUGUCAAUGUACAGUGCUGUGCACUAAAUCAGUGAGAGGGGCUUUUGACUUCAGGUUUGCACAGGCUCACAAAAGAAUUUGUUCACUUCAGUCUCAGCAGACAGCUGUGAUAUGUGCUGGUGAAUGCAUUCUCAUUUCUUUGUUUUAGGAUCCAUAAAUGCCUUGCUGACUGAGGUUGCUAUUGAUAAAAGUUUAUGGCUUAGCACCAUCCCAGCUGUACCUACUGCAAACAGACGGGAUGUGAACACCCCGCUCCCUCGCUGCAGAAGGGUGUUGCUCCGAUGUGUACCCCUGACACAGUCUUGCUGCAAGUGGCUGUCUGGUGUAUAGGAGAGGUGGUGAAAAGCAUAUUGAUGCAAAGGGUGUUACAUUGUGAGCUGUACAAGGACACCAAGAAAGGAAUCAGAGGAAUUUUGGAUUAGUGUGAUUUGUCCCGGAGAGGACUUGCCACCAAAUUACAGAAUCAUAGAAUCAGCUAGGUUGGAAAAGGUCUUUAAGCUCACCAAGUCCAACCAUUACCCCAGGACUGCCAAGACCACUGCUAAACCAUAUCACUAAGAGCCUCAUCUACACCUUUGCUGUUACAGCAGGGCAUGCUAACUGGGUUGCGAUGAAAAAAGCCUGACACCACCAUUUAUAUUUGUGGAAAAAGAAUUAAAAUUGUUCACCCUU